GGCGAGUGAAGCGGGAAGAGCUCAAGCUUAAAAUCUCCGUGCAAGUUUUGUGCGGCGAAUUGUAGUCUAUAGAGGCGUGGUCAGCGUGGGCGCUUGGGGCAAGUUCCUUGGAAGAGGACAGCAUGGAGGGUGAUACUCCCGUUCAUCCCUGAGUGGCUCGUGCGUACGACCCGUUUUCUUUGAGUCGCGUUGUUUGGGAAUGCAGCGCAAAGUAGGUGGUAAAUUCCAUCUAAAGCUAAAUAUUGGUGCGAGACCGAUAGCGAACAAGUACCGUGAGGGAAAGAUGAAAAGAACUUUGAAAAGAGAGUUAAAGAGUACCUGAAACUGCUGAAAGGGAACCGAAUCGUUUCCAGUGUCUAUAAUCUGUGGCAUAUUUCAUUGGCGAGCGUUUGCGUGCGUGUGCUGUGGCAGUGGCUUUUUUGGCUGCGCCUGGUGUGUGUGGUGUGAGUGUUUGCUGGUGCCCUGUGCUGCGGUGGGACGUCAAGGUCAGUUCGUAUGCUGCGGGAAAUGGCUGCCGAGGAGGUAGGGCUUACGCUCCGCGUUUGUCUGUUAUAUCUUGGUGGACGAGUCGUCGCGGUUGGGACUGAGGUGCCUACAACGUGCUUUUGAGUGGGUUUGUGUCUCCGUGUGCGCCGUGUGCGGAUAGCUUGCUAUGCGUGUGUGGUUGUGUGUGGAUUGAUGCGGGCCUUAACUUGUCGCCGUUCGGG
rnacentral:rRNA from 1 species